rnacentral:precursor_RNA from 15 species
AUUAUUCUCCUGGAAAAGGUUGUGACCUGGUUCAAGUAAUCCAGGAUAGGCUGUGUGCAAUCUAAUUGGCCUAUUCUUGAUUACUUGCACUGGGAGGCAACCACGACAAAGUGAACCAGAU